rnacentral:rRNA from 1 species
UACAGAGGUCUCAAGCGUUGUUCGGAUUCAUUGGGCGUAAAGGGUGCGUAGGUGGCGCCGUAAGUCGGGUGUGAAAUUUCGGAGCUUAACUCCGAAACUGCAUUCGAUACUGCGGUGCUUGAGGACUGGAGAGGAGACUGGAAUUUGAUGGUGUAGCAGUGAAAUGCGUAGAGAUCAUAAGGAAGACCAGUGGCGAAGGCGGGUCUCUGGACAGUUCCUGACACUGAGGCACGAAGGCCAGGGAGCAAACAGG